rnacentral:rRNA from 1 species
UACGUAGGGUGCGAGCGUUGUCCGGAAUUACCGGGCGUAAAGAGCUCGUAGGUGGUUUGUCGCGUUGUUCGUGAAAUCUCACGGCUUAACUGUGAGCGUGCGGGCGAUACGGGCAGACUAGAGUACUGCAGGGGAGACUGGAAUUCCUGGUGUAGCGGUGAAAUGCGCAGAUAUCAGGAGGAACACCGGUGGCGAAGGCGGGUCUCUGGGCCGAUACUGACGCUGAGGAGCGAAAGCGUGGGGAGCGAACAGG